AAGUCGCCCGCCGCCACUUCUGUAUUUUCGCGUCUAGUUACAAAAAUACCCAGGCUUCUUCCCGAAAUAAUGGCGAACGGAUUUUAUAGUGGCCGCGCGUAUUCAAGCCCGAUAUUUUCAAGCAUUACGACGUUGAUGUCAAACCCAUCAGUCGAUCGCACCGAAAGACGCAGAGUAUAAAAGGGGCGGCUCUUAUAUAAGAUAUAAUGGUGCUCAACCAGAAAAUCGUUUCCGAUAUGUCGAAGUAUUAUCGAGGAAAAUAAUGUGUUGCCUAAUGCGAUAGAUAUCCGCCGCUAAUAUUCAACGUAAAAUUAAAUCAGCUGUUGGUUGUCUCACUCCGAGAAAUCGUAAACAAAUCAUCCUAUCCACGUAAUGCUAAGUAUAGAGUGAUGGUUAUAUAUGCGAGUACGGAUGCGGAUGUACGUUCGUCAUAAUUAACCCCGGAUUUUCUGACAUGGUGUGACGUGCAGAAGUUUACAACAGGGGCUUUCAUGAUCUCGUCUAGAUUUUGUCUGGAAGCACAGUUUUCAGCGAUAAUGGAGCCGUGCGCGAGCACACUCCACUUCCCUUGCUACUUUUAAAAGAUAAAGAGUAAACGAGAAAUCGAGCGCUUUUUCCGCGAAUCAUAGAUACCAGAGACUAGAUGAAAAGUAUAGCAGUUACGUCAAUACGGAAACAGAAGUAGAAAGAUAAUACUUUGAAGACAUCCUGCAUUAUACGCGCACGAAAAUAAAAAUUUGACACGCUCGAAAACGUGAGCGAUGAAAAAGGGAA